AAGGGCAGGCACGAAAAAGAAUUACACGGAGAAGGAGUCACGGGCAAAGAUGUAUAAGGAAUCAGGAGGUCACACACGCUUGCUAAUUCAACGUCUGUGAGUUGCAACCGCACGAAAAAUAUACGCUGGGAUACACACAGAUGGAUUAUAAAUGGUGAUGUAUGCAUGGCAGCUGUACAAGCCGACAGUUCCUGCAUGAUGUCAGUCAAACGUCGCGAGGAC